GACGAACGCUGGCGGCGUGCUUAACACAUGCAAGUCGAACGGAACGGCCCUGCUUUUGUGCGGUGCUCGAGUGGCGAACGGGUGAGUAACACGUGAGUAACCUGCCCUUGACUUUGGGAUAACUUCAGGACACUGGGGCUCAUCCCGGAUAGGAGCUCUUGCUGCAUGGUGGGGGUUGGAAAGUUUCGGCGGUUGGGGAUGGACUCGCGGCGUAUCAGCUUGUUGGUGGGGUAGUGGCUUACCAAGGCCUUGACCGGUAGCCGGCCUGAGAGGGUGACCGGCCACAUUGGGACUGAGAUAAGGCCCAGACUCCUACGGGAGGCAGCGGUGGGGAAUAUUGCACAAUGGGCGGAAGCCUGAUGCAGCAACGCCGCGUGCGGGAUGACGGGCUGCGGGUUGUAAACCGCUGUCGCCUGUGACGAGGCGUGAGUGACGGUAACGGGUGAAGAAGCACCGGCUAACUACGUG
rnacentral:rRNA from 1 species